GGGCCGCCUCCGCUGAGUCCGGCGACCGCCGGAGCCGGGGACCCACGACCUUGGGGUGAAUCGGUCCGUACGAGCGCGACGCGCCCGCACGGACCGUAGGGCGGCCUUCCGAAGCCCGAACCCGACAGCUAACCCGGUAGGCGGUCCACGGAAGGAGCC
rnacentral:sRNA from 2 species